rnacentral:rRNA from 1 species
UGAGGAAUAUUGGGCAAUGCCCGAAAGGGUGACCCAGCAAAGCCGCGUGGAGGAUGAAGGUCGUAAGAUUGUAAACUCCUGUUAGAGGGGAAGAAUAACUAAGUUUGGAGCUUAGUAUGACUGUACCCUCAGAGAAAGCCCCGGCUAACUACGUGCCAGCAGCCGCGGUAAUGCGUAGGGGGCAAGCGUUGUCCGGAUUUACUGGGUGUAAAGGGCGCGCAGGCGGAAUGGAAAGUCAGUGGUGAAAUCCUACAGCUUAACUGUAGAACUUCCUUUGAUACUUUCAUUCUUGAGUUCGGGAGAGAGAGACGGAAUUCCAGGUGUAGUGGUGAAAUACGUAGAUAUCUGGAAGAACACCAGUUGCGAAGGCGGUCUCUUGGUCCGAUACUGACGCUGAGGCGCGAAAGCGUGGGGAGCAAACA